UAUUAUAACUACAAAACAUGUAUGUUGUCAUUGUAUUUCUCUUUUAGUAUUGUCUCGAUAUAAAAGUAAGUCAAAGCCAUUUUUAUAGAUGGAAGGUAGAUUCACAAAUUACGCAGUUACUCCCCUUUGAUAUAAUUAAGCCAUGAAAUCAUCUGAAAGUUUCCAAUGUCAUUGAAGAACACACGAAGUUUACCGACGAAUUUGCACAGAUUUUUAGAGUAGAUUGUACCAGAAGGCAAUGAUUGAGGAUAGCUAUUCAUACUGAUAAUUAAUCUGACAAGUGGCUGUAGAGUCCCAAUGCACCACCAUGUUGACAUGGUACGUGCCAUAAAUGCAUUAUAAUUUAUUCUCAUCUGUUUAGAAGACACUUCAUUUGGCUUAGUCAGAAUGGGACCUUAAAUGAAAAUGCAUUAUUGUACCGUAUAUGAAACAACACAAGAAUGAUCCAGAAGAAGUAAAACUACUCUGCACAUACUCCACUACUGAGCCCUGCCUUACAGGCCUUGUUCCCAAGCUAAUGCCAGCUGAGCUGUGGAUACACCAAUAUGUGGAAUGCCUUCAUCAUCAAUGACGUGUAGUGUUAAAUAUUAAACAAAUGAGAAAAUGUCCAAUAGUAAAAAACGGAAGUACGACGAGCAGCUGAAUAUACCCACAGACUUUAGGUGCAUUAUUCACAACAGUGGACUUAGCAAUCAUGGUGACUGUGUAACACUAAAUUCUACAAAAUUAAAAGUCUCUGCUGAACAAAAACUAGAUCAGCUGCACUCAAUUCGCAACAAGCGAUUAGCUGAACCAUGUGACUCACCACAUCGCAUGCAUGACAUAUGCAAGAGCAUUCCUGCCUCAUUAUGUGGAAUAGAC